rnacentral:rRNA from 1 species
UACGUAGGUGGCAAGCGUUAUCCGGAAUUAUUGGGCGUAAAGCGCGCGCAGGCGGUUUCUUAAGUCUGAUGUGAAAGCCCACGGCUCAACCGUGGAGGGUCAUUGGAAACUGGGGAACUUGAGUGCAGAAGAGAAAAGCGGAAUUCCACGUGUAGCGGUGAAAUGCGUAGAGAUGUGGAGGAACACCAGUGGCGAAGGCGGCUCACUGGCCCGGUACUGACGCUGAGGCGCGAAAGCGUGGGGAGCAAACAGG